rnacentral:tRNA from 1 species
GAGGGUAUAGCGCAAGUAGUAGAGUGCAUGCUUAGCAUGCAGGAGGUCCUGGGUUCAAUCCCCAGUACCUCCU